ACCUACGGGAGGCAGCAGUGGGGAAUAUUGCACAAUGGGGGAAACCCUGAUGCAGCGACGCCGCGUGAGUGAAGAAGUAUUUCGGUAUGUAAAGCUCUAUCAGCAGGGAAGAAGAAAGACGGUACCUGACUAAGAAGCCCCGGCUAACUACGUGCCAGCAGCCGCGGUAAUACGUAGGGGGCAAGCGUUAUCCGGAUUUACUGGGUGUAAAGGGCGUGUAGCCGGGCCGGCAAGUCAGAUGUGAAAUCCCAAGGCUCAACCUUGGAACUGCAUUUGAAACUGUUGGUCUUGAGUAUCGGAGAGGG
rnacentral:rRNA from 1 species